rnacentral:rRNA from 1 species
CACGUAGGGGGCAAGCGUUGUCCGGAUUUAUUGGGCGUAAAGAGCUCGUAGGCGGCUCAGUAAGUCGGGUGUGAAACCUCCAGGCUCAACCUGGAGACGCCACCCGAUACUGCUGUGGCUUGAGUCCGGUAGGGGAGCGUGGAAUUCCUGGUGUAGCGGUGAAAUGCGCAGAUAUCAGGAGGAACACCAGCGGCGAAGGCGGCUACCUGGACCGGUACUGACGCUGAGACACGAAAGCGUGGGGAGCAAACAGG